rnacentral:rRNA from 1 species
CCUACGGGUGGCUGCAGUGGGGAGUAUUGGACAAUGGGGGGAACCCUGAUCCAGCCAUGCCGCGUGUGUGAAGAAGGCCCUCGGGUUGUAAAGCACUUUCAGUGAGGAAGAACGCCUGGUGGUUAAUACCCAUCAGGAAAGACAUCACUCACAGAAGAAGCACCGGCUAACUCCGUGCCAGCAGCCGCGGUAAUACGGAGGGUGCGAGCGUUAAUCGGAAUUACUGGGCGUAAAGCGCGCGUAGGUGGCUUGAUAAGCCGGUUGUGAAAGCCCCGGGCUCAACCUGGGAACGGCAUCCGGAACUGUCAAGCUAGAGUGCAGGAGAGGAAGGUAGAAUUCCCGGUGUAGCGGUGAAAUGCGUAGAGAUCGGGAGGAAUACCAGUGGCGAAGGCGGCCUUCUGGACUGACACUGACACUGAGGUGCGAAAGCGUGGGUAGCAAACAGGAUUAGAUACCCCAGUAGUC